rnacentral:lncRNA from 12 species
AUGUUCAUGCAUUUCUACAACUUUGAUUUAUUUAUUUAUUUAUUUUCUGUUUUUUUGGGGUUUUUUUGGAUUUAUUUUGAUUGUGGUACUUAUGCUAUAGGUACCAUAUUACCUAUAAUCGACGCCAAGAGAGUCGCAGGAGGAUGGAGGCAUGUGGAUGGCAGAGAACAUCCCUGGAGAUAGUUUGUAUAGAUGUUAUUGCCAAAUGAAUUUUACAAAUGAGGACAUUGAAACUUAUAUAGGUGGUAUCCUGAUAGUCCUAGAGCUACAAAGUAGUAAGGCAGUGGUUCUCAAAGUGUAGCUCCUUGGACCAGCAGCAUCAGCGUCCACUGGAACUUGUUGGACAGGUGAGUUCUCAGGCUUUCCCCUGGGUGUAUGGAAUCAGACACUCUUUGGGUGGAGU